CUGCGCCACGAACACUUCAGCAGAUCACUAAAAUUCUGCAGCACAUGACAGCACAAGGAACAAGGAAGUGGCUGCACUUUCACCAAAAAAUGAAGACCGCACUGCUCAGUCUUUGUCUGGUCAGCACAAUAUCUGCUGCACCAUUGUCUGUCUUUAAUUACCUGCCGCACUAUGGCCCGGGGCCGUCGGGUCCAUCCACACAGGUUUAUUCCCCUGGAUCAUCUGGCAACACAGUUGGUGGCAAACCGGCCAGAUCAAACGGUUUUAUGAAGUAUUCUCUCCCCAAAGCUCCAGGACAGAGCAGUGUGGAAAUGUACAUCCCAAUUGAUACCAACCAGAAGCAGAUGCCCACAUUCCAUGCUCAGGCUCCACAGGCUGAGCAAAAAGAGCUGCAGAAAGGUUUUAUGAAAUAUUCUCUCCCCAAGGCUCCAGGACAGAGCAGUGUGGAAAUGUACAUCCCAAUUGAUAUCGACCAGAUGAUGCCAAAUUUCCCGCAUUUGCCUCCCAACACAAAUGUGAGCAUUUUUGUUAGCACUAUGACCUUUUGUAUAUACUUUGAUAAUUUGAUUUGCUUGUAUGAAUUCCUGUCCUGUCAUUUGCAUUUCCAGCUACUGAACAUUCCUCAGCCCCCACACCAGCAACCCCCUCAGAAACAGAUGCCUACAUUCCAAGCUCAGGCUCCACCGGCCCAGGAUCCUUUGAGACAAGAGCUGCAGAAAGGUUUUAUGAAAUAUUCUCUCCCCAAGGCUCCAGGACAGAGCAGUGUGGAAAUGUACAUCCCAAUUGAUAUCGACCAGAUGAUGCCAAAUUUCCCACAUUUACCUCCCAACACAAACCCACUGAACAUUCCUCAACCCCCACACCAGCAACCCCCUCAGCAACAGAUACCUACAUUCCAAGCUCAGGCUCCACAGGCCCAGGAACCUUUGCAACAAGAGCAGCAGGUAAAGGCCAGUCAGAAGAUGCAGCUGUAAUGAGGAAUAGCCAGAUUAUGACCGGCGUGCCACUCACUUACCUGCAGGAAUAUUUCCUGUAUGUUCUGGACCAGCCACUGAUUUUAAAUGUUCUGUAAGCAUCUAGUUUUUCACAUUAGAAAUGUGAUUAGCACCUAAACAAUGAACUGCAUCACAAAAGCAAGUGGAAGUUUUUGGAUAGUUCUGACCACAUUGGUAAAAUAAUUUUUUUCCACAAAUAUGACUUGCUUGUUUAAAUUACAGUAUAAUUUACGGAUGACAAAAAGCAAAAAAGCAUGCAUUCCAUGUGAUUGCAGCGUUCCAUGUUUUGUGUUAUGUUAGUGAAGUAGUGUAGAUGUGUAUUGUAAUGUUGAAAUUAACUUAAUAAAGCAACAAAGGC
rnacentral:lncRNA from 1 species